rnacentral:rRNA from 1 species
UUGGAUGGUAGUGUAUUGGACUACCAUGGCAGUCACGGGUAACGGAGAAUUAGGGUUCGAUUCCGGAGAGGGAGCCUGAGAAACGGCUACCACAUCUACGGAAGGCAGCAGGCGCGCAAAUUGCCCAAUCCUGACACGGGGAGGCAGUGACAAGAAAUAACAACUCUAGGUUUUCUUAGAAGUGUAAUGAGGAUAAUUUACAAACCUUACCGAAUGCAAUUGGAGGGCAAGUCUGGUGCCAGCAGCCGCGGUAAUUCCAGCUCCAAUAGCGUAUAUUAAAGUUGUUGCAGUUAAAAAGCUCGUAGUUGAAAAUCUGAUUGCUCAGGUCUUCAGCCUUUAGGCGGGGAUACUGACAGUCAUCCGCUUGCAAAUAUAAGUUCGAUCUUCACCGGUUGGCUAUAUGAGCAAGCAAUUUACCUUGAGAAAAACAGAGUGUUCCAGGCAGGUUUGUCCGGAAUGCAUUAGCAUGGAAUAAUAGAACAUGACUGAAGUCUAUUUAUUGGUUUAAGGCUUUAGUAAUGAUUAAUAGGAACAGUCGGGGGCAUUCGUACUCAGCAGUCAGAGGUGAAAUUCUAAGAUUUGCUGAAGACGAACUAAUGCGAAAGCAUUUGCCAAGGAUGUUUUCAUUAAUCAAGAACGAAAGUUAGGGGAUCAAAGACGAUCAGAUACCGUC